AUACUGCUGGUCUGGAGGGUGUCAGAGGCGUGUGGAAUUCCGCGUGUAGUGGUGAAAUGCGUAGAUAUGCGGAGGAACACCAGUGGCGAAGGCGGCACGCUGGGACACACCUGACGGUGAGGGACGAAAGCCAGGGGAGCGAACCGGAUUAGAUACCCGGGUAGUCCUGGCCGUAAACGAUGCGCACUAGGUGAUGGUGCGGCUAUGAGCCGCAUCAGUGUCGUAGGGAAACCGUUAAGUGUGCCGCCUGGGAAGUACGGUCGCAAGGCUUAAACUUAAAGGAAUUGGCGGGGGAGCACCACAAGGGGUGAAGCCUGCGGUUCAAUUGGACUCAACGCCGGGCAACUUACCAGGGGAGACAGCAGAAUGAGGGUCAGGUUGACGACCUUACCUGACAAGCUGAGAGGAGGUGCAUGGCCGUCGCCAGUUCGUGCUGUGAGGUAUCCUGUUAAGUCAGGCAACGAACGAGACCCGCACCUUUAUUUGCCAGCAAGAAGUCACGACUUCGUUGGGAACGAUAAAGGGACCGCCGUCGAUAAGACGGAGGAGGGAGCGGGCAAAGGCAGGUCAGUAUGCCCCGAAACCCCUGGGCCACACGCGGGCUGCAAUGGUGCGAACAAUGGGCUGUGACUCCGAAAGGAGAAACCAAUCCCGAAAUCGCAUCUCAGUGGGGAUUGUCGACUGUAACUCGUUGACAUGAA
rnacentral:rRNA from 1 species